UACGUAGGGCGCAAGCGUUAUCCGGAAUUAUUGGGCGUAAAGAGCUCGUAGGCGGUUUGUCGCGUCUAUCGUGAAAGUCCGGGGCUCAACUCCGGAUCUGCGGUGGGUACGGGCAGACUAGAGUGAUGUAGGGGAGACUGGAAUUCCUGGUGUAGCGGUGGAAUGCGCAGAUAUCAGGAGGAACACCGGUGGCGAAGGCGGUUCUCUGGGCAUUACCUGACGCUGAGGAGCGAAAGUGUGGGGAGCGAACAGG
rnacentral:rRNA from 1 species